UACGUAGGGUCCAAGCGUUAUCCGGAAUCACUGGGCGUAAAGCGUGCGUAGGUGGUUUGGUAAGUCAGUGGUGAAAUCUCCGAGCUUAACUUGGAAACUGCCAUUGAUACUAUCAGUCUUGAAUAUUGUGGAGGUCAGCGGAAUAUGUCAUGUAGCGGUGAAAUGCUUAGAUAUGACAUAGAACACCAAUUGCGAAGGCAGCUGGCUACACAUAUAUUGACACUGAGGCACGAAAGCGUGGGGAUCAAACAGG
rnacentral:rRNA from 1 species